UUAACAUACAUCAGAAAAUAGAAAACCAGUAGAACAGAUAAGUGAGAAAAAUAUAUAAACUUUGAUAAAUAAUAAAGAUAAAAACUUAGAUAAAUAAAGUUAUGAUAAACUCAAAGUUUAUCAAAAAAUGGUCAAACAGGACUGGAUUGUGUGGAAAUCUGGCAAAAAUCAAGCCAAUGUUGUCUAGGACAUAUCUGGAGUUCGUCCUGUAUGCAUUUGUUUUAUCACCACUUGAUUACUACACUGUAUUUUGCGCUGAGUCAGGCUGCAUUGAAGCGGUUGCAGUUGGUUCAGAACUCGGCAGCUAGAUUCCUGACAGGCUCGAACAAAACAACACGCAUUACUCCUGUCAUGGCUCCCCUACACUGGCUCCCUGUGGAUUGCCAGGCAAAGUUUAAGGUCUUGUUGUUCGUCUUCCGCUCCCUCAAUGGUGGUACCCCACCCGGGCUGGGCUGCUUCAGGUGCAUGCCCCUAUGCACUCUCUUCGCUCAGCUAACCAAAACAGUCUCAAUACUCGCACCGUGCCCUGCAGACUUCAGCUAAGUGCACUUGGGAAAAGUGUGCAGUAAUGGGCUCGACACACGGGAGGCGACAAACGACCGCGAUCAGCGAAAUGUGUCGCUUUUAUUACCUGACACACGGGAGGCGAUCCGCGGCAGCGGCCAGCGGCAGAGCCGUCUACGCGUUCUGUUCCAUGGCGAAAUCGAAACUUCUGUUGUUUUGUUUGGCUGUGUCAGGUUGGAGGGAAUUAAGGUUAUUUAAGCGGUUCAGAGUUAAUAAAGCGGUAGAUAUGAUGUUUCACAAGUUGCUAAUAGAGUUAUGUGAAAUCUUACUUCUGAUUUUACUAUAUAAAACAUAAUAAUAAUCAACUUCUCCUCCAAGUUUGCUCGGAGAUGUGCGGAGCAUCCUGUCCGUUCAUUGGUCAGUGAAUGAAACCUCCGUUGAUUGGUCCUCGCCCGAGCGACAGCGAUGAAAUGUUGAAAAUAUUUCAACUUUCUGGGAUUGCGUAUUAUGGCGACCAAGAUGGCGCUCUGAGUGGACGUGCUUUGCUGAGCUCCGCAAACCGAACUGUUUUCUAUAGUUAGAGAGUGAACAAACUGAACUUUCGCCUUUAGUUAUCUGUCGCGUCUGUUUGGCUGCACUUUGGCUACGUCUGCUGCAGGCACGUGCAGAGGGGGGUGCGGAGGGUGCUUGAGACCCUGCCCCUUUUGUCCGAAGUGCCCAAAGUGCCAUUUUUCCGGUCGUUCGUCAGAUUUUACCGUACAAAAUUGUUAUACUGUGAUACAAAUCGGGCACUAGGACCAUGCGGAGGCAGCCACCUCAAGCUGAAGGCUAUUUUCCCUUAGACCCGCCUACAAGCUCACUGAUUGGCUCUGCCGCAUCAUACUAACGUGUGAUUGGUUGUCCUUGCUGUCGCUCUACUUUGUAGCCAUGGAGACGACAGACCGGUGUUUUCCCUGCGGACAGGAGUCUGCGUUCAUCUAACUAAGUUUUUUUUCUGCCUGCUUCACGUCAGCUGGAUAGAUUUUAAUAUCAGAGCUUUUGUUUACGUGCGUUUGAGUCCGUGGUUAGUGUGUGUGGAGCAGAGUCAGGUAGCUGCAUGUCUGGGACAGAAAAUGAGACAUGAGAGAGACUUCUCCUGAAGUGUUGCAGAAACUCAAAGAAUCACGGAUGUGUCUCACUCUAGAUUCUCCGGGUCGUAACUUCUGAAAUACUAAUCGAAUAAAAAUAAUUCAAACAGUUUCUAAAAGUACAUAAAACAAGCUUUCCAACGAGGUAUUACAUGAUGUAAUUCAUGUUACUCCAAAAAUCGCUAUUAGAAGAAAACCAGCUUUGCAGCGUCACAGAAAGAAACGGAGCGAACCACGACAGGAGAGCGAGAACCGAAAGGAGGAGAUGAUCUGAUCCUCUCCAUCAGCAACUUUUAUAAAGUUAUGGAAACAUCACAAAUAAAAUCCACCUGGUUGGUCAGGUGUCCCAGAAGGCUGUUUCUGUAGAUGGUGACAUGAGGAGGGACAGAUUAAAGUCACACUGGUUUUUAUUUGAACACUCCACUGUUUACUAAAUGAUUCAGCUUCAUUCCAGCAUUAUUUAUACGUACAAUAAAUAUUUAUUUAGCUGAAAAUAUCAUUUUAUCAGUGCAGAAUUUUAUUAGUUAACUUUUUGUAAUGAAAUGUUUAGAUUUGACCUUUUAUCUGGCUUAUUGAUCUUCAUAAUGCUGGUAGAAAUGCAGCUACAGUGGUGAAGUAGCCCAUGAGUGUUAUUUUAUGAUACCUAGUAUUUAUUUUACUGUAUCCCGUUCUCUGGACCAGAGCGUAGACCUGUGGUCACAGACAGGCUGCAGUCAUUAAACUGGUUAACAUGAGGUCAGGGGUCACACUGUUUUCUGAGUGUUUGCAACACAGUUCUGAGUUUAAAUAGUUCUUUUGACAUAGUUUGCUCAAGUCAUUUUGAAGUUCCUGUUUAGUAAUAAAUGUAAAGAAAAUUCAAAUUAGUUUUUUUUUUCAUUUAAAGAGCAACUAAUGUCUAAAUUAACUUUUUUUUGCUGAUGGACUGUAUAAAUGAGUGUCUAAUAGUGUUUUAAAUGUGUGUAUUCAUUAUUUUAGCAUUUUGGUGCAUUUUCUUUGAAAAUUAAAAAUUCUGCCUGAAUACCACAGUAUUGCGCCACCUUCAGCUUAAAACAUAGAAUUUGACUCAUUUUGAAUAAAUUUUAGCCAAUGGCUAAAGAGUAAGAUACUACGUAAACAAGUAGAGUACUACGUAGCAGCUCUGUGUCAAAGUUAUAAAAGCAUCGAGCGUCUCGGCCACGCCUUGUGGCGAGUUGGGAGUUGGAUUUGCAAGUGAGUGUAGGACGGUUAGCGGUAGUUCAGCAUUAGCAUAUAGCAUUAGCAUAUCCUAGUCUUUAGCAUAGUUUUUAGUGUUAUAAAUACAUAUUUAGUGUUAGUUUGGCUGUUGGAUAUUGUAGUUUAGUUGGUCUUUGGCUGUUAGUGUAAUUAGGAAAGUAGUUUGGGUUUAGUGCUCCAUAUCGUGUUAGUAUGGUGAGAAGGUGUAGUGUAGUAUGGUUGCGGUGGCUCUGUGGGGUUGCACUCCUUUCCGCUGGACAAAUUAGGCGCCAGUGGUAGCACGCAAUCGGUGUCUGGAAAAUAUUCAGCUCCCGCCUGGUGCUGUAGUUUGCAACCAGCAUUUUACCUGCGAUUCUGCACGUCUCCGUUUGAAGAGGGAGGCUGUGCCCACCGUGGCUCUUCCGCGAUUUAGAUGCAGCCCACCGCCUCUGCUCCCCCACCAUGGCGGGCUCCAGUCUGAGGUGAGUAACCUAAAUAAAAGUUUUGACAUCUUCUAAAGACAAUUCCCUACCUAAAUGCAAAGUCUGAGAGACGUGGUUCACUUCCUUUAGCUAGUCAGUCGGUAAUUCUGCAACAGUGUCUCUAACUAACGCAGCACUAGUUGACAGACAGCAUUACAGCAUGAAAUCCAGCUUGUGACCCUGUUCUGUAAGGAAUUCUGUUCAGGAGGUCGCAUUUCAGGCUCUCCACAUCAUAUGUGACUGACUUUUACGUUAUAACAACGAUCACACACUAGGAAUGUUAUAAAGCGCCUAUAUAGGACAGUUUCUUUUGUAUAUUAUCUGACUUUAUAAACUCCCAACAACAAUGUAUUUCUAUUUCUUUUGUCAGGCAAAAUCUACCCAAGACACUGGCUGUCAUACUGAUUUAGAUGCAACAAUGCACUUGUCCAGGCUGACGUGAAGCCUUACCCAUAGCAAAGGUGAAUUAUUUUUAAUAAUCUUCUAUGUAAACAUUUUACUUCUAGUUUUAAUUAGUUUUACAGAUUAUUGUUACACGUGAUUUUAUGCUCUUUUAAACAUUUAUAAAUGUGCUGCUACUUUGUUUUUACAUAGUCAGCCAGAAUAGAGCUCACAGCCGCAGUGUGUCUUGUGACACAGGGACCAUGACGGAAAUUCAUCUUCCAGAAAGUCCGAGAGCAGCGUCCACACCCCUGAAAAGACCAAGAUGUGAGGUGUCUGCUGUUGAUUCCAGCUUCCACCUCAGUGACAGUGCAAGCUCAGUGAACUGUUCAAGGAGGCUACUGAUUCUGCUCCUGUGACACUUGGUGGUGACGUGUGAGCUGAUUCACCUGGACACUCAGCAAAAUAUGGACUCUACACCAUGAGGCAGGCACACGUUAAUACUCUAUAAGAGCACAUAAGCCUGGCUGAUCACCUGAUAACUCCUGUCAUCUGGUUGUGACAGCAUGAGGAUGUCCUCACACACCUGUAACCUAUCAGCUCAUCUGGCAGAAUAGAGAGAGAAGAGACAACACCACAUCUCCUGUUCCUGGAAAGCCUUCAGCCUUCCUUCGAUGACUGAGAACCUCCAUCAGCUCUGUCUCCUGUCUGCCUACAAUUAUUAUAAUAAAUAUUGUGUUUGACAA